rnacentral:rRNA from 1 species
CGGACACGCUGGCGGCGUGCUUAACACAUGCAAGUCGAACGGUGAACCAGAGCUUGCUCUGGGGAUCAGUGGCGAACGGGUGAGUAACACGUGGGCAACCUGCCCCAGACUCUGGGAUAACCUCGGGAAACCGAUGCUAAUACCGGAUACGACCACUUCGGACAUCCGACGGUGGUGGAAAGUUUUUCGGUCUGGGAUGGGCCCGCGGCCUAUCAGCUAGUUGGUGGGGUAAUGGCCUACCAAGGCGACGACGGGUAGCCGGCCUGAGAGGGCGACCGGCCACACUGGAACUGAGACACGGUCCAGACUCCUACGGGAGGCAGCAGUGGGGAAUAUUGCACAAUGGGCGAAAGCCUGAUGCAGCGACGCCGCGUGAGGGACGACGGCCUUCGGGUUGUAAACCUCUUUCAGCAGGGACGAAGCGAAAGUGACUGUACCUGCAGAAGAAGCACCGGCUAACUACGUG